rnacentral:rRNA from 1 species
UACGGAGGAGGCAAGCGUUAUCCGGAAUUAUUGGGCGUAAAGCGUCCGUAGGUGGCUCUCUCAAGUCUGCGGUCAAAGACCGGGGCUCAACCCUGGAAAGGCCGUGGAAACUGGUGAGCUAGAGUGCGGUAGGGGCAGAGGGAAUUCCCAGUGUAGCGGUGAAAUGCGUAGAGAUUGGGAAGAACACCGGUGGCGAAAGCGCUACUGCUGGGCCCGCAACGUGA